CGCCGUUUCACCGAGCAUGAAGUAAAAAGCAGACUUCUACCGUGUGGCCGCAUGUUUCGUGCGUGUCAUUUGUGGUGGUGUCUGUGUUACCCCCCUUUCCAUGCAAUCCAUUUGGAGUGGAGAGGACACUGGCAGACUGGGAGAGAAGAAGGGAGAAAUGAAGGAAGACAAAGGGUGUCUCCCUGCCUGCCGCCCGCUGACUGCUGGGAUAGGCUCCAGCAUCCCCGCAACCCUGAGAGCAGAAUAAGCAGCUUGGAUAAUGGAUGGAUGGACUAAUAUGCUUGCUCCCUGUUUCUCAGGGGUCACCACAGCGGAUUUAUCGGUACCAUGUGAGGGCACAGCGCCAGUGGGGUCAUUGUUAACCCGGGACUCAACCCAUCCGGUAGUGAGCCUCGACCGAUCCGGUAUGGUCUUGUCGAUCCGCAUGACAACUGGGCGAAACUCUACGCCGGACGCCCUUCCUGACACAACCACUGACCCUGUGGGGCGGGG